rnacentral:misc_RNA from 1 species
GUUUGGUUUGUAAAAUUGUUGAUUUUGAUUUUUUAGUUUUUCUAAUUUGGUUCAGUUCGAAAACUGAACCAAUCGAUUCCAUACCCUUAGUAAGAAUAUUGGGAGGGGAUACAAAUGAGUUUAUACAAAUGAGUUUCCCAUAGCAGUGAUCAUUUGAGUUUAUACGUAUUUAUUAUUUAUUAUGGAUGAGCUAACUAGUCAUAUUCAAGAUAAU